ensembl:lncRNA
UUCCAUUUAAACAGCUUUAAUCAUUGGAAUACAGAGCAACACGAAAUGCAUCCCGGUUAUGAUAUAUGACAAAUAACACAUGCACACAAACACACACAUAUGAAUAUAUAUAUUAGAGCUGUCAAGCGAUUAAAAUAUUUAAUCGUGAUUAAUCGCAUUAAUGUCAUAGUUAACUCACGAUUAAUCGCGAUUAAUCGCAAAUUCUUUUGCUAUGCUAAAUAUCCCUUGAUUUUUUUGUCCCAUAAUUCUUCUCAUUUUAAUUAUCUUAUCAACAUGGUGAAGUGCAUCGGCUUGCCUUGUGCAAAUGAUUUUUUAUUGAUAACAACAUUGGCAUAUACAAAAAAAGAGCCUAUAGUGCAAUUAAACGACUGCUUUGAACAAAUGUCAUUUGAACAUAGCAGUCAGGCUACUGCUUCUAUGUUUUGAGCCAAAGAAAAAAAAAAAAAACUUUUUUUUUUUUUUUAAUAAAACAAUUGCGUUAAUCGCGCGUUAAUUCUUUAACGCCGUUAAAAUUGGUUUGCGUUAACGCCGUUAAUAACGCGUUUAACUGACAGCUCUAAUAUAUAUAUAUAUAUAUGAGCUUGUUUAACUUAUUGGAUAUCAUUAUUUUCUUAUAUGUAGUGGACAAUUAUUACAAUGAUACAGAAUUUUUUUAAAUAUUUAUAUAGAUUAGUGAUUCCAUUGUUACGACGGUUAUUCAGGGUUGUUGCAUGACUAGCAACAACAGAAGGGACGGAUCCCUGUGGAGUAGAAGACAGGAUGUACGUCAUUCAGCAUUUAUACUGAAAUUAAGUAUAACAUCUUGUGUUUCGUCUGCUUCCUAAACUUCAAAGCAUUGCUAACAUUUUAUCAUUCUGAAUCAACCAUUACCCACAGUUCAAUAUGUAUUAUUCAUGGAUCUAUUCAUACUACGAAUCACAUUUAGAUGAAAUAACUGAAUAUUUUCAUCGGUAAUGUAAUUGCUGUAAGACCAGAUAUAUCUUGGAAGUAUUGUGUACUUACACAUCCUGAUUUUCUCCUGGAAAAUAAAAAAGACAUCAUUAAUGUUGAAUAAUGAAAUCCAUGAAUUCAAUGUUUGAUAUCUUAAUGUACACAUUACUGUUAA